GACAACGCGAUGAAAAAGAAAAGUAUUCUUUUUCGGGCCGGACAGAGAAAACAUGCCGCAGGCUGAAAGCAUGUUCCCGGCGAAAAAAAGAAGAAGUUCCCUUUGGAGCGGCGCGGCUGAACCACAAAGUAGGCCGCGACGGCGGGCACCGUUAAAGGCCGGAAAAGUGUUUGACGCUUUCAAAAAUCAGGGUGGUACCGCGGAGCAUUGCGCCUUCGUCCCUUUU
rnacentral:ncRNA from 1 species